rnacentral:tRNA from 1 species
GUUAUUUUGGCAGAUUAGUGCAAUAAAUUUAGAAUUUAUGUAUGUAAAGGUUUUACAGGUAACA